CCGGGACCAUCCUCCGCCGCGGGCCUGGAGAGAGGAAAAGAAGUUGCUGAGAAUUGUUACAGGGCCGAGUCUAGGCAGCCUCCUGGCGUGGCUCGUUUGUACAGCCAGCUCUGAGAACCACUGUUUCAAAAUUCACAACGUACACAGGAAGUCUUCAUGAUUCAGUUGGGGGCAGAAAUGGCAGAGGUUCAGGGAGAAGAGAGUCUCCUGGGUGGAAGAUUACCAGGCGCAGGACCUCAGUGGGCUGCGGCCAGACCCCAUCUUCGCCCCCACACCCCCACCCCGCCUCCAGGAUCUCCCAGGAGACAGGUGACAACAC